AAGAUUAUAGUAUAAAUAAUAUUUUAGUUUUGCAUUCUAAAGAUUUUAAUCUUA
rnacentral:tRNA from 1 species